GACGAACGCUGGCGGCGUGCCUAAUACAUGCAAGUAGAACGCUGAAGGAGGAGCUUUCUUCUCUGGAUGAGUUGCGAACGGGUGAGUAACGCGUAGGUAACCUGCCCGGUAGCGGGGGAUAACUAUUGGAAACGAUAGCUAAUACCGCAUAAUAGUACAUGUUGCAUGACAUUUGCUUAAAAGUUGCAAUUGCAUCACUACCACAUGGACCUGCGUUGUAUUAGCUAGUUGUUGAGGUAACGCCGCACUAAGGCGACGAUAUAUACCCGACCUGAGAGGGGGAGCGGCCACACUGAGACUGAGACCCGGCCCAGACGGCCUGGGGAGCGAGCCGUAGGGAAUCUUGGGGAAGGGGUGGAAGACUGACCGAAAAAGGCCGAGUCAGUGAAGAGGGUUGUCGGAUCGUAAAGCACGGUUGUCAGGGAAGAACCCGCGUGAGAGUGGAAAGAUCACACUGUGACGGUAUCUUACCAGAAAGCGACGGCUAACUACGUG
rnacentral:rRNA from 1 species